rnacentral:rRNA from 1 species
AGUGAACGCUGGCGGUAGGCCUAACACAUGCAAGUCGAACGGCAGCACAGUAAGAGCUUGCUCUUACGGGUGGCGAGUGGCGUACGGGUGAGGAAUACAUCGGAAUCUACUUUUUCGUGGGGGAUAACGUAGGGAAACUUACGCUAAUACCGCAUACGACCUACGGGUGAAAGCAGGUGAUCUUCGGACCUUGCGCGAUUGAAUGAGCCGAUGUCGGAUUAGCUAGUUGGCGGGGUAAAGGCCCACCAAGGCGACGAUCCGUAGCUGGUCUGAGAGGAUGAGCAGCCACACUGGAACUGAGACACGGUCCAGACUACUACGGGAGGCAGCAGUGGGGAAUAUUGGACAAUGGGCGCAAGCCUGAUACAGCCAUACCGCGUGGGUGAAGAAGGACUUCGGGUUGUAAAGCCCUUUUGUUGGGAAAGAAAAGCAGCAGGUUAAUACCCCGCUGUUCUGACGGUACCCAAAGAAUAAGCACCGGCUAACUUCGUG